UUAAUGAGUUGUCUCCUCACUUGCGGGUGAAUCUUUCGCCUUUUACUAAAGAUUUCCAUGAGGAGGCACGAUACAAUGAGUCUUGCCUCAUUUUUUCCAGCUCUAUCUUCGGACGGAGU
rnacentral:snRNA from 1 species